AUCGGAGUGGUUGAUGAAAUAGGGUACACGCAGGUCCAGGUGGGUAGCAAAAAGCAACAGGUCAACUUCGUGAUCCGCGACUUGAGCAACAACACUAUAACAGUUACGUUAUGGGAGGCGUACGCGGUGCAGUUUAUGAACUACGUUGAACAGCAGGUCGAUACUGCAAUUCUUGUUGUGAUUAUGAUUCAAUAUGCCAAAGUCAAAGAAGCUUUUGGCAAAUAUCCUUUGUCUGUUACCAAUACUUACAAUGUCACCAAACUGGCUAUUAAUGAAGACAUGGAAACAAUCAAACAAUUUGCUAAAAUGUCCUGACUUGAUUUAUUACAAUUUCCUGCACUUUGUAUCAUCCUUCUUAAUUGACUCUGACAAUGUAUUUUCAUCGUCAGGCUUACACAGGAUACUAUAGUGGCUGUGUCGGGACUUCGCAGCCAGCAGUCUCAGGGAAGGUCGCAAAACUCCUACAGUUCUCGCCAAUCACCUACCCAAAAAUUGUUGUCUAAUGUUGUUCUUCUUCCUCUUGACCAAAUCGUUAAACUCAAAGACGUACUAAUGUUUCAAUUUUUUUCAUUUAUUGUCUAACUGUUAUUACAUUUGAAUUUCUGUUUACCCCCCUUUUGUAAACACAGACUACUUUUUGUGCUACGGUUGCCACAAUUACAA